AGUAACACGUGGAUAACCUACCUAUAAGACUGGGAUAACUUCGGGAAACCGGAGCUAAUACCGGAUAAUAUUUUGAACCGCAUGGUUCAAAAGUGAAAGACGGUCUUGCUGUCACUUAUAGAUGGAUCCGCGCUGCAUUAGCUAGUUGGUAAGGUAACGGCUUGCCAAGGCAACGAUGCAUAGCCGACCUGAGAGGGUGAUCGGCCACACUGGAACUGAGACACGGUCCAGACUCCUACGGGAGGCAGCAGGC
rnacentral:rRNA from 1 species